ensembl:lncRNA
AUGCCAAUGUCUCCAACCUCUGACCAAAACAAGGACCUGCAAAGCAGCCCUAGCGGAAAAGGGCACCAAAUCCAAGUCCGGAGGCCACCUUCUGGUUCUUCAGUGAGGAAAAUCCUUAACAUCAGUAAGUUCAGCAGUUUAACCAGGUUGAUGAGAGUCAUUGCCGGGGUGUGGAGAGCUGCCACAAAGUGGAAAGAAAUGCUGGCCAAGACCUCAACCACAAGCAAGCCAAAGAGGAAGGAGAUUCCUUCAGCUCUUGAGAUCAAGUCCAGAGUCAAGGAAGCUACACUUACCAUCAUGGAGUGUGAAGAUGCAAUCAGGGAUCUCUUCCUUGCAGCUCAAAAGGAGGUAACCUUGCCAGACACCACACUCAGCAGGCUUGCUGUGGUCAAAGAGGAAAGCACUGGACUUUUGCUCUGUGGAGGAAGAUUCCAAAUCUUUAAUGAAGAAAAAACUGCAGUACCAAUCUUGCCCUGCACAUCCUGGGUAUCCACUCUUCUAGCUCAAGAAGCCCACAAGGCAAAUCAUGAAGAAAUCGCAGGCACACUCCUCCGGAUGAGAAGGAAAGCAUGGGUGGUAAGAGGCCGGAAAUUAGCUCAGAAGAUUGUUGAUAAUUGUGUGACAUGCAGGAGACUUAGGGCCCGAAGAUGCCAACAGAUCAUGAGUGACCUUCCAUCGGAGCGAAUAACACCAGCCAAUCCAUUUGAGUACACGACAGUGGACUUAUUUGGACCUUACGAAGUGAAGGAUGAGGUGAGAAAGAAGGUGAAACUCAAAGUGUGGGGAAUUGUCUUCUGUUGCAUGGCGUCCAGAGCUAUGCACACAGACCUUGUCAGUGACCAGUCAGCUGAAGGCUUCCUGUUAGCCUACCAAAGAUUUACGGCACUGAGAGGACAUCCGAGGAAAUUGUGGUCGGAUCCUGGAAAGAACUUUGUCGGAGCCAGACCUGCCCUCAAAGAGCUCUACAUGUUUUUGGACCGACUGGAGAAAUCAAAGCUUGAAUAUGAAGUCUCCAAGCAUGGCACAGAAUGGAACUGGAGGAUCCAUCCAACAGACUCACCUCACAGGAACGGAGCUGCUGAAGCUGCUGUCCGGACUGUGAAGCGGGCUUUGCACAAUCUGGGGGGUAAUGGAGUCUUCACAUGGGGUGAGUUUCAGACUUUCCUUUAUAUGGCUUCCAACCUCGCCAAUGAACGACCUAUUGAUGCCAGGACUCAGAGCCGGGAGGACUGUGUAGAAUACAUUAGCCCAAAUUCACUUCUGCUUGGAAGAACUGGACCCAGAGGAGAUCCAGGGACCUUUGACUUUGAAGAGAUUAAGAACCAUCCAAGCAGAAGUUGA